UACGUAGGGGGCAAGCGUUGUCCGGAAUCAUUGGGCGUAAAGAGCGUGUAGGCGGCCCGAUAAGUCCGCCGUGAAAGUCCAGGGCUCAACCCUGGAAUGCCGGUGGAAACUGUCGGGCUCGAGUCCGGAAGAGGCGAGUGGAAUUCCUGGUGUAGCGGUGAAAUGCGUAGAUAUCGGGAGGAACACCCGUGGCGAAGGCGGCUCUCUGGCCUGUAACUGACGCUGAGGCGCGAAAGCGUGGGGAGCAAACAGG
rnacentral:rRNA from 1 species